rnacentral:rRNA from 1 species
CCAAUAGCGUAUAUUAAAGUUGUUGCAGUUAAAAAGCUCGUAGUUGAAUUUCGGGGUCAGUAGAUUGGUCAUGCCACUGGUAUGUACUGGUCUCACUGAUUCCUCCUUCCUGAUGAGCCGUAAUGCCAUUAAUUUGGUGUUGCGAGGAAUCUGGACUGUUACUUUGAAAAAAUUAGAGGGUUUAAAGCAGGCUAACGCUUGAAUACAUUAGCAUGGAAUAAUGAAAUAGGACGUUUGAUUCUAUUUUGUUGGUUUCUAGGAUCGACGUAAUGAUUAAUAGGGAUAGUUGGGGGCAUUAGUAUUCAAUUGUCAGAGGUGAAAUUCUUGGAUUUAUUGAAGACUAACUACUGCGAAAGCAUUUGCCAAGGAUGUUUUCAUUAAUCAAGAACGAAAGUUAGGGGAUCGAAGACGAUCAGAUACCGUCGUAGUCUUAACCAUAAACUAUGCCGACUAGGGAUCGGAUGAUGUUAAUUUUUUAAUGACUCAGUCGGCGCCUUACG